UUAUAUUUCUAUGUAUAUAUAUACUUAUUUACCUAUGAAAUAAUACAAUAAUGUGAUUCCCUAUUUCCCCUUUCUUUAACACAAAUUAUUUUUCAUAACAAAAUUUAUGUUAUUACAUUACAUCAUAGAUAAUUAUCUACUUAACAAAUAAAAUCAUUUUAAUUAAAAUUAGUUAUCUUAAACGUAGGCAUAUACUGAAUCCAAAUAAAGAAAAGAUAAAACCAAAAAAAAGUGUAC
rnacentral:lncRNA from 1 species